rnacentral:piRNA from 1 species
CUUGGAGAGGCUGGAGCAUCUGA